ACGAACGCUGGCGGCGUGCUUAACACAUGCAAGUCGAACGGUGAAGCGCCUUCCUUUUUGGUGGGUGUGGAUGAGUGGCGAACGGGUGAGUAACACGUGAGUAACCUGCCCCCUUCUUCUGGAUAACCGCAUGAAAGUGUGGCUAAUACGGGAUAUUCUGGGUCUGUCGCAUGAUGGGUCUGGGAAAGAUAUUGUUUCGGUGGGGGAUGGGCUCGCGGCCUAUCAGCUUGUUGGUGGGGUGAUGGCCUACCAAGGCGGUGACGGGUAGCCGGCCUGAGAGGGUGGACGGUCACACUGGGACUGAGACACGGCACAGACUCCUACGGGAGGCAGCAGUGGGGAAUAUUGCACAAUGGGCGCAAGCCUGAUGCAGCGACGCCGCGUGAGGGAUGGAGGCCUUCGGGUUGUGAACCUCUUUCGCCAGUGAAGCAGGCCUGCCUCGUUUGUGGGUGGGUUGACGGCAGCUGGAUAAGAAGCGCCGGCUAACUACGUG
rnacentral:rRNA from 1 species